UACAGAGGGUGCAAGCGUUGUUCGGAAUUACUGGGCGUAAAGCGCGUGUAGGCGGCGGCGUAAGUCGAAUGUGAAAUCCCUUGGCUUAACCAAGGAAGUGCAUCCGAUACUGCGUCGCUUGAGUGCCGGAGGGGAUGGCGGAAUUCCUGGUGUAGAGGUGAAAUUCGUAGAUAUCAGGAGGAACACCUGUGGCGAAGGCGGCCAUCUGGACGGUAACUGACGCUGAGACGCGAAAGCGUGGGUAGCAAACAGG
rnacentral:rRNA from 1 species